GGAUUGUGGCUCAAUGGUAGAGCACUUGCCUAGAACAUGUGAGGUCCUGGGUUCGAUCCUCAGCACCA
rnacentral:tRNA from 1 species